UUUUGUGUCUAUUUUUUUUUAAGCAAGAUUUUUUUUUUGUCAUUCUUUCCCAUCUUUUCUAACUUCAGGGGUUGGGGGGGUGCUGUUGUCUUUACCAGAUGAUUUAAAAUCCUCACCAUUUUCCAACUAGACCUGGGGGUCGAAUAAGCCCUUGCUUUCAAACUGUCUUCAGGCUGUGUGUAUGACAGGCAUUGGCUGAUCUGCUGAUGCCCAUUCGACAGGCACUGUUGAGCUAAAGUGGUGUGACGGCACAGUUUUGUUAAGCUGUGAACAAAGGGCUGGAGAUGCCUCCCUGGCAUCGUCCAUGUGCAUAUUGGCCUUGUCACAGUUUUGCUUGAUUUAAUGCUCUGUUUAUUCCUAGAUAUUAAAACUUAAAUUCCAAACAAUAUGUUUUCAGAGACUACAUACCAACUUGAUUGUGAAAGCUUGAACUUUGAAGACCCUAGGGUGCAUUUGCUCUUCUAGUUUCCACGUAGCCCACGUGAAAACGCAGCUUUGGAAAUAACUAGAUUGCCAGUAGCCUCUUAACUGUUAUCCAUUUAAGAAAGGGAUUCUAGUCUUAAAAAGUCUUAUUAGGGUAAAAGAUUUAUUUUUCUUUGAUCACGGUUGAAAGUCAUUAUUUGUUUCCAACAGUGGAUUCUCCCGUAAAUUCCUCAGGAAAAGUUACCUUGUGUGUAUACAAUCUGGGUAGACUUUUAAAAACAAAUAUUUUAGAAAGAUAUAUUAUCAAAAAAAAGAUAUUCAGUUCUUAAAGAAACCAUUUAUAAAUACCUAUGAGGGUACACACAUUGCUGCUUCUAGAGGGGUGGGGGGAGAAUCAAAGAGGUUUAUGUUAAAGUAAGCCCUAUGGAAGAGAAAGAAGAAUUAAGAUUGAGGCCCCCAAAUAAAAUAAUUGUUAUAAAAAUCCCUGUUCCACUGACAAGAGCUAGUUUGUCCAAAGAAAACUGAAGUUGAUACUAAAUGUAGCUCCCAGUGUCCCGUCGAAUGUGUCCUGAGCUUUAUCUGUGCCCUGGGUUUUUUGUUCCCCCUCUGCCCCUUUUUCUUCCCUUCAGGUUUGCUUCAAGUGUUUGCUGAGAGAUUAGUUAGCAAGUUUAUACUGAGGAGGUAGCCAUGGGAAGCAGCUCUCCCCUUGCAGGAACGCACAGUGGGUCAGAGCGUGAAGAUGCUGGGAGCUAAGGCUGACUGAGGCCCGGGAUCAGGUACUUUAUUUUCUCUCUGAGACAACCACUCACAGAAAGGCUUGUGGAAUGACAUCUCGUCCCAGCAGGAGCACAGAUGCUACCCCUUUUAGAAACUUCCAAACAAGCAUUAUUGCAGGAACAACUUUAUGAAAAAAAAAAUCUCUUUAAGUCUAUUGCCAGCACACUCCCUUUUCAUUAUGUAAAGAGGCUAUAAUUUGAGAUAUUCAGGGUUAUUUUUACCUCCAUUCAUAAAACAACUUCUUUCUGGAGAGCUGUAAUGGGGAAGGUGAGGAAGGUGGCGAAGGAGCGGAAAAUAGCAGCAUGAAACAAAGUAUUUCUGCUACUCACCAGUGAGACUGCACAAAAAAAUCUGAAAUUGAAUCUCUAGGGUAAAACACAUACACAUUUUCACCUGCCCUAAGCAUAAUUCUUAGCAAGGACAGUUUUACUAACUGAAAUGAAUUGCCUUUUUUUUAGAGUAGUAGUUUUACUCAAUGUUCAUUUAUAGCAAAUAAUUCUCACAGCCAGAAAGGGUGACACAGGUAGGGGUGACAAGGAAAGAUCAAGCUUUUAUUGCUGGUUUUUGUAUAACAUCACAUGUGGAAAAGGCACACCUGCUUACAAGAUACUCUGUGGCCUGUUCUCUUUAAGUUUCAUGAGAGGUUUCUGUGUCCAGUCCCACUGGUGUGACCCAGAUUUAGACACACAAAUCUCCAACCUGGCAAAGAAUAGACCUUUAAUAUAUUAAUAGGACAGAUUUUUACUUAAUAUAUGAAAUGAAUCUUGGCACUAGUCUGAAGGUCCCUAUGAAUACUUUGUUAGCAUCUGUUUAUAAAGGAGACACAUAGAAGUUGCCCCUAAUGGUCCUCCUGCCCCAACCCCCAGCUGAACAUUAUCUGUUUUGUCGCCAGCUCAUAAUGUCCUAUCCGUAAAUUGCUCUAAGUGAAGCUGUAUCCUAGCUAUGUUUUAUAACAAACACAGGGCUAGGACCAACAUGACUUCUCACCUUUUAAUGAACUGCCCUAGUUCAGGAUCUUCUAAGAAAUGAAGUACAAAAAGGAGCAAAGUGGAGAUGAAGAUAUCUCAUAAAUAGUUUCCUUUGAACAUGCACAGUUGCUUACAUGGCCUUUCCCCCUUUUUUCCAGGCUAGCAGAAAUGGCCUAGCCCAGGGCUCAUCCAAGAGAGCACCCUUCAGAGUUGUUCAUUGGAUGAUUUGAGGGAGGCUCCAGCCCUAGGAUACCAAUGAAGUGUAUUUACUGAGAACUUUCGUACAAGUGGGAGCGGGUGUGGUGUGAGUACAGGGCAUUCUUGAAGGAAUGUCUAAUUCCUGCGAGAAUAAUAAGGCCUUCUGGCCAUUCUUCAGCAAGAGGUUUCAAGGAAACAGAGAGGGGUGGCUGUGGUUUCCCCCAUCCCACCCCUGGCCCAGUGAGGAACAAGGUCUGCUUCAUGUACAUAAGAUCUUUGAAUGUCUCUGCCACGAGGUAGGGCUUGGGCGAUCAGUAUCUGCAAGCUGGGAGCAUGAAGGUGAUCUCAUUGUAUCACAGUGUAGAGAUGAGAUAGGCUAGAGCUACAGCACAUCAGUGCAUUGUGCCCGGGUGGCUGGAACGAUCCUCUCAUUUCCAAAGCAGCCACUCUUUUAUUUUCCAUCAUUGUUCCCUUACCUCACUUGUGUGCUUCUUGUGAUAUGGAUCUGACUGAGUCGUGCAAGCUUCAGACUUGCCAGCCCCCAGCUCCCAGGCCUAGUACAGAGUCAUUCAUAAACUUACCGUAUUAGACUAUCAGAUCGAAACCCAGGAUCUCUACGAGUGGUGGCAUUGGAAAGCCCAUUGUUUUGAUUAUCAUUUCAUCAGCCCCAACUGAUACUAGUCUGCUCAAGGAAAACAUACGUCGGUUACAGUUGAUUUUCAGAUUCCAAAAUGGUGCUGCAAAGCCGGUGCGUCUCUAAUUAUAUUUUAUGCUAGGCUGUGCAAUACCAAAAUAUACGCCACAGCAAUCAGGGAGUGAACAGUAUCAAUCAAUUUGUAAACAGAUGAAGUCACUCAUUCCCAAACUGGUUUUCCAAAAACAAUUACUAAAUUACAAUAGGAAAAAAAUUGUACAGUUACUGUAUUUGUGUGCUGUGUUACAAUCAACAUACCAGGGAAACAAAACAAUUUAAUGCAGAAAAAUCAUCAUUCAUCUACAUUAUAAUUGCUUCUUUUUCACAUCUACAGGGCGGUUAAUUAAAAUUGUGAUUAAAUGCGGUCGCGCUGCCUAAGAUGUCUUGCCCAAAACAGGUGGUACAGAAUUUAAAAGUAAAAAAAAUGUAAUUAGCAUUGGAAAUUGAGAAAUUGCCUGUAAGAAUCAGUGUUAAUUUCAGUCAGUGAUGAGGUAAUUUAUAAAUGAAUGCAGUGGAGGCUGUGCAAAUGCACAAUUGCCUUCCUUGCCAUUCUUAGCAUUCUCAGCAUGCAGGUGAAAAUGUUUUCAAAAUAUUGAGGUAAUUUGAAAAUCAAUCCAUGCAUUCUGUAUCUUUUUUCUCCCGUUUGUACCAAAUGCUGAACAAAUGCUGCCAUAGAUGGCACGAUCCAUCAGUUGUUUUAUUUUCUAAAAGCAAUGCUACAGUUAUUUCAGACCUAGAUCAAGAAAUAUAAUGACAGAAAUUACAGACCUCAAAUUGUUACAAGGGUCAAAAUUGUACACCUGAAAUUCUGACUAAUGUGAAUUUGCUUUGCUGCACGGCACCACAUCAAUAAAAUAGGGACCUGGAGGGAACUAUUCUCAGAAACAGACAGAAAGACUCUUAACCAAUCCAAAAAAUGCAUGAGGUUUUAUUUUUAAAGUUUAAGGAAGACCUUGAGAAUUAUAAUAUGGCUGAUCUUUUCCUUAGGAUCUUUAAUUUUUAUUAUUCUACCUAUAAAUCCUUGAAAACCAGUUAAUAAGGUAUCAUUAGAAAUAUUUUUUUUCAGAAGUGAACUCUGCUUAUUAAUAGAAUCUCUCUUUUUUAACAAAGAUGCAACUUCUUAACCAAAUAUUAUGCCAUCCGUGUCCUAUAUUUCAGGCAUUCUCUUGGCACAUGAGUAAAUUUAUAGUUUAGGUACUAUUUAAAAAUUUAUUUUUAUUUACAGUAUUACUAAAAUAGAACCACUAGGCUUUUAAAAUCUCCUUUUCAUGGAGGAAAUUGAACUUGUAUGUCCUUAUCUUGACCAUCUGAGCAAUAUACAUUUAAAAUAUUUUCAUGAUGGAGGAAAAUAUGGGGUUUAAGUAUCUGGCUGCAGUGGUGCUAAAGAGACUUCUUGGGACUUUAAAGCAUUCUCUCCACAGAAAGUCCAUCCUAAGAAUAUGUUAGCUGUUACGGAUUAAUAAUCAGAGUUGAAAAUGUAAAAUAUUCUGCAUGAUCUGCAUGAUUGUUUGCUGUGUGAGGCAGACAUCCAUGAUUUCCCUGUGAAGACAUACUUGGGUCAGACACCUGCACGCUGACAAUGCGGGGAGAGAGACGAAACAGCGGGAGCAGCCUUCUUCCCUGACAGUAUCUUCGCAUCCUCUGGGGUCAGGCCGGGUGCCAGGCCUUCCCCUGGACCUUUCCUCCUUACUCUGGGGAUACAAGUGAACUGCGCAGUUUCGAGGUGACAACUCGGCCAGUUGUUCCAAGUGGCAUGCCGUCAUUUCUCCUGCCUCUCAAUCUGUUUUCCAUUUAAUAUUACAAGUAGAAAUAAAAGGAGACCUAUAAAUGGAGGAAACUGAGAGGUCACCAGUUAACUUCACGAUCCCUCGCCUUUCACCAGCUCCUUACCCCCCACCAACUGCGAUUAGGACGAUUUCAUCUUCCAGCAGUCAGUCCACCUUUGGGGAGGGAGAGUGCACACUUCAUCAGGGAAUGGCUUCCUGGAUUCCCUUAUGGACCCGUGAACAUGAGAUCUGCGGCCACAUGGGCCUUGGCUCAGAUUUCAGGAGAGCGGUGAGACGGGGGAGGUACGACUUCACCCUCCAGGCUGCGCUGGUUCUGGGUUUACAAGGGGUCACCAAGGUUAGAGAAUCACAGAUGUCAAUAGAGCUCCUGGCCCUACCCCUUAAAAAAUUUGCAGUAGAAAUCUUCUUACCGCUUCACAUGUAGUUCUUAGUCCUCUGGAAGCGAGCAGGGCAACACGAUGCGGGGUUCUUUGCUAGGGAGAUUUCACCCAUGUUAUGUCAAAUGAUUGACAGAGGCAAUGCCUUUAUACACGCUCCCUCCCCCAGGUGUCUUCUCCAACUCUUACAGCAGCAUCAGGACGCUCAGAAAAGGUCUGACUAUGUGGCUCUACUAGCACUGGAUUGGCCAGCAAUUUGGUAUUUUGAGUCCUCUUUCUUUUCAAAGUUUCCAUGCGCGCUUACUUGAUUUAUUCUGCUAUUGCUAGAAGCAGCACCUCUUUGGAGCUGAAGGCAGGUUUGUGGAAGAAAAAGGCAUAUUUUCUUUUCCCCCUCAGGGCUUCUUUCACCUUCAUUCUUAAGAGUGAUCUGAGCAUUGCAUUAGAAGAAAGGAUUUUUUUUUUCUUGUUGCAAAAAUAAUUGACAAGUAUGCCACCAGGUCCUUCUUGCGAUUCCGGUAUUUCAGCAGAAAAUUGCAGUGUUUACUCAUUCCUCAUUAAUUGAGCACUUACUACAUGCAGGCACUGUUCUUGAGGCUGCUGAUCAAAAAAUGAAUGGUGGAGCCUGGGCCACUGAGGAGUUUGCUGCCUAGUGGGAAAGCGGGGGUGAAGAAAUGAGGAAAAUGUGAUAAGUGCUAUAAAAACACACCUGUGAGUAGAGAGUGCAGAAGAUGUUGCAUCUAGAUUUGGGAGAAGGCGGUGAGGCAGACUUCCUGGAGGAAGUGGCUUUUAAGGAGACUAUGGUCUCAUGACUUGGAUAUUACCAGUGGUGUGAGGGAAGGGCUGGGACAGGCAUUGGAGGAGGGAAAGGGAGAACAGCUCAGCUAUCGUCAGCCAACAGAAAUGUCUGACCAUAGGGCACGUGCAGGAGGAUGUGAUCCAUUGAGUCUGCAAAGGUGGCCUGGGAGUAGAAGAAUGUCCUGUCCCAUAUUUCUGGCUCUUAUCCAGUAAACAGGUGAUGAUGAGCAUGCGAAUCCUUUUUAAAGAAGAAGAAUGACAUAAUCAUAUUUGUGUUCCAGCAAAAUGUCUCUGGCAAGUGUAUGAAAGCUAAUGUUAUCUAACAUUUAUUGAGUACUUAUAAUGUGCUAAGAAUUUUGUCUGUGUCAUCUGAUGUUGCCCUAACAACGAUUCUAUCAAAUAAAUAAUACGAUGAUUGUAACACACUUUUUACAGAUGAGGAAAUGGAGGCUUAGGAAAAGCACGAGGCCAGAGUCAGGAAGAAAGUUUAUGGUUAAAUGUUACUGGAAUCGUGGAAUUUCCAGAAUUAACAAGUAACUCUGGAAAGACAUUUGGAAAGGGAAACCCAGCAUUUGAAAAAGAGUUAAAGUGAGGUGGUUUGGUUCCCUUUUCUCUGGGUGAGUGGUGAGAUGAAGUGGGGACUAAGGUUUUUUUUUAAUCCUUAAAAUUCUUCAUUUCAUUCAUUACUGUGUCAGUUUGAAAAAGAAAAUGAAAAACGAUUCUUGAUCCUCAAGAAAUGGAUACUAGAAUGUGUAGCUCUUUGGGAGUUUGGACAGAGAUGGUUAACAGACAGCCCUUCAAAACAGUGGAGUUUAGUAAACCUGGAACACUGGCCUUGCUGAUUUAUUUCAUGACAGUAGGGCCUUCUUCGGCCUUAUGAGGAAGCAAAUGAAAAUAAUCCCUUUGCGAUGACUAUUUUCCUUCCUUUACUGAAUUAACUCUUCCAUCGCCUAAGACUCACAAUCCUCCAACUUCCGAAUUCUCCACACUGCCUUAUCUCUGCCAUCCCACGGCAAGCCCUAAAGCUGCUAACAUUUUGUAACAACUAUGUGACAAAUCGUUGUGCUUUUAUUCAUGUCGGACAUUUUUGCCAGGCUUGCUUGUUGUGUUUUCUGUUUGGCUGUGUCCUGGGACCAAAGGUGCCUGCCUUUGUACAGCAUGUCAAAUCUGGUUAACAUGCAGCCAUUUAUCUUCAAAACCACCCUGCACAAUGGCAGCAGUGGGCCAGGCCACAGGGCUCCCAGCACAACCCAAUUUUUUAGACCAUCUUUUCUGCAUGUGGGGAGCACGUUGGGCAGCAGACAAGAUGUUUUGUGAUUUGGGGAAUCUCUUAGAGACAAAUUGUAGAGAGCAAGUGCAGUGUAGCCGGACUGCUGGGUGCCCAGUGAAGUGAGGAAAAUCAGAUACAGCACAGGCUGAAAGAAUGAAGCGGGAAUUCAUAUCUCUGUGCAGAACAUGCACAGUACUUUGCUCACACAGAGUUCACACAUAGACAAAAGCAUGUUUGCUUGUGGGCUAUUUGCAGGGAGGCCAUAGGCCCAGCCUGUGGGUAUGUUCGCACCUGAGCCUCCUCUGUGCAUUUUGUACUGGUGAGGGUGUCCACACGUGAACAUGUACAUAUGCCUGUGUGGGAAGACAAUUUGCUGGUACAGAUUUAAGACAUGAGCAAGACCUUCUGGUUCACUGAGGCGUUUCUCUCCCAGUGUAUUAGAAGCAGAAUCUUUGUGUUUUCUGCGGCUGUUUCAAUAGAGGACUCUGUGUGUGUUUAAAGAAGACGCAGAGCCAGGGACUGUCAAGUGCUACAAUGCAAAAUACGGAGGACUUUCUUUCUAUAAAGCCCCUGCAAACUUUAUAACCCAAUUCGCCCUGGGUUUUCGUUUCUCAGUUCUUUUAAGGUAUCUAGGGGAUGAUUUGCCCUUAAAUAACUAAUUAUCAACAAAGGAGCACAGACAGCCUUAAAAAAAAAACCCGUGAUAAACCGUCAUGAACUAGUUUAACUGAAAUGAAGGAACUUGCUUCCUUGGAUGAGUUAAAGGACUGCACAUAGCAAAACCAUGUGAUUUAAAUGAAUGGUUAGCAACUGUAAAUAGUAAACAUAAACACAUACAUAUCACAUUUAUACACAUACGCGCGUUUGUGUGUGCACAUACACUGAGGUUGCUUGAAGGAACAGGCAGUUUUUCUUUCCCUCUGUCUUUCUCUCCCCACCCCCCGCCCCUUUUUUUUCUUUUUGAGUAAAGGACCCAAGAGAUUGCCUUUCACUUUGAAAACAAUCUCUAAUAUCAGGAAAAUGCGCUGUUUGUUUAUGCGUACAUAAUGCAAGUUUGUCCGCCUGGGAGCUGCAGCAAAUGGGAGAAGUAUGCAUGGAUUUCACAGGUAACAGGAUUACGUGGGCACAUAAUUGAUCCAUUUGGAGAAAAAAAAUGACAGUGCUCUAAAGAUGCCUAGGCUUUGGAGAUGGAGUUUAUGAAACAGGCAUUUGUAAAUUCAAAAGAAUCAAUAUGUCAAUUUUAUUACAUCUCAGAACCAGCUGGGCAUUAAAGGAACAGUAGCCUUAAAAAAAAAAUUGCAGCUGCGUAUUCCCACAUUGUUUACCUUUCUUAAAGGGCUUGGACUUUAAGGAAAUGAACUCAGAAAUGUCUGCCUUUUCAGAAAUUAAUUUACAUUGUCAAAAAAGAACAAUAACUGAGUAAUUUCUGAGUUUUUAACCUAACCAUUUGGUUAAAAUGUCUGACAAUCAUUACAAUUAAUGCCUAUUAAUAGAUAUAGGUAAUAAGCAGCAUAGUAGCUCUCACACAGGCUGCAUAGAGUCACAGAUUCAUUAGAAUUCAUAUCUGCAUUGUGCUUUUCAACAAAGUUUAGAUUUUACCUCUUCACUGAUCUGAGGACAUAAUUUAAGAGCUAAGCUUCGGAUGUCCCACAGAAUUCUGUCUGUGCAAGUGGUAAAUAGUCCUGUUUUAUUAGAGUUUUUGACAAUUCAAAAAGACCAAGUUAUUUUAAAUGAAGUUCAUAGAUAACAGGAUUUGGACAAGAGCCAUAACACACGUUCAUGGGAUGUGAAGUCAAGAUUUUUUUAAAGGUCCCCAAAGAGCUUACACAACUCAGGGUGAAAUUUAGGAGCUAUUAACUGGUCCACUUGUAGAUGAAAUGGUACUUCCUUUCACACCCCUACUGUGUGCUGUAGGAGAAUACCUCCAAGGUGAGCCGCUAUUUCAUGUCCACGUCUUCACUCCCUAGACUCCUGUCCCAAGAACAUCCCUAGAUCCAUUCACUUAAAAUGAAUGGAGCCCGGUCUUCCUCUUCCUCUCUCCCCAGGAGUGAGGAAUUCAAUAUCAUGAGGAAAAAAUCACACACAACACACACACACACACACACACACACACACACACAACAAACACAGCAUUCAGACACAAACAAAUCUGUGUCCGAAUUCUGAUUCUGCCACUAGUUUCCCGGUGGCCCUGAAUGUGUUUUAGCCUCUCUGAGCUUCAGUUCAUAAUGCUGAAAGUAGGGACCAACACUCACUACAGGAUGAUUGGGAGUGUUGAACAAAAUUCUAAGGGCAGUAUCUGGAGCUAUAUUCAAUAAAUUCUGAUUAUUAAUAUUUCCUGGUGAGUCUAAUCAGGCUACCAGGAAUUCUAUGAUAGAGCUACUUCAGUCUCCGGGCCAUGCUGCAACCCUCUUGAGAAGAGGAAACCAUGACCAUCAGCUGAGGUAUUCAUUCCUUUUCAAUUCUUUAGGAGUUUUAAAAAAACAAAAAAGGAAAAGAAAUAGUCAAGGUGCUUGGCAUGGUCUCAUACCUCUGCCUUUCCAGGAAGUGGACGUGGUACUUUUCCUUAUAGGAGCAAUGCCCUCUAACAAAAUCCCCCUAUAUUCUGGGCUGACCUUUAUCACAGCACUUACAAUACCUGGUUCCUAUUUGUCUUCUCACACAUGUAGAUGCUUUGAGGACAGUCUUGUCCAUCCCGUUGUGACCAGUGACUAGCGCAGUGUGUUUUGAUAAAGCGAGACUAUACUUAGUAGGAAGACAAAUCCAUUCUACUGAAAAUGAAUAGGGCAGGUACAUUAAAGAUGUAGUGCAUAUGAAGUCUAGGAAAAAGCUUUGGAUAACUUAUGUUAGGCCCCCUACUACCCUAUAAACAAUAUCUUAAACUCCACUUAGUGACAGCUAUGCCAUUUUGAAUACUUGGGAUUUUUUUUUUAUUUCUUUUCUUUGGUUUUUCAGUUGUAUUCAAAUCAACUGGCUUUCCACCUUUCUCAAUGAUACCUGUAAGACCUGUGAGUCAGGGAGGCAGGCAGAAAGGCAGUGUGGGUGCUCAAGAGAGCUUAGGCUUUGGAUAGCUGAACUCGCCUCUGGUUUCUACUUCACACCAGCCAUGGGAACGGGAGCAAGUUGCUCAGCCCAACUGGGUCUCCAUUUCUCCUGCGGCCUGUGUAACAGGGUCAUUGUGAAGACAUGCUGGAAAUAGGUAAAGGACCCAGCACAUAGUAGGUAUUUAAUGUUGCCUACUCUUCAACGUUUACUGCGUAUUUACUUUGGGUUGGCACCCAUAGGGCCUUCCCCCUUUGCUCCUCCUGUCAAUCAACACUUACUCCACACCCCUGGUGGAUCUUUCUUACCCCAGUUCCAAAGUUCCUUAUGAGAGUUGGAACUCUCAUAUUUAUUUAUUUUUAUUUAUUUAUUUAUUUUUGCUCAAGGAAAUGAGCGUGCAGAAGCAUCUGGAAUCACAACGACUGUUUCUGCCUGAUCUGACUGCUCCUUUGUUCCCACCACCCUUUUCAGUGAACCAUUUCGGUGUUUCUGUAAGGCUCCACCACCAUUUUGCGCUUGGGUGUCUCAGAUCUCUCUUCUUCCGUGAUCCUUUGAAGAUAUCAGAAAAGAAGAUGCAUUCAGCCUCUUGACUUUAUUUGUUUGCCACGCAACUAUGUGGGUUGGUUAGUUAAUAGAGCAGAUUAAAGCACUUUGUUUGAUUCUUCUUCAGCAUACCAGAAAUACAUUCAAAACCCACAGCCACAGAAUGUAAAGAAGAUAGUCCAAAUAUAGUACUACAUAAUGAGGCUCCCUGUUGGUAGUAUAUAAAGCAGUUGAGAGUAUAGCUUCAAAUUCUAAUGAAGAUCAUUUUAAAUUUUGCACUGAAUUGUGAAUUUAAAAUUCCCAUGUUCUCCAUAAGUCUCUGAAGAGGGGCAUGUAAAUACCAUAAGUGAAUUAAUUACCGCCUGAAGUUGGUAAAGCAUGUGUGAAUCCAAACUUUAUUCUUGAACUUGCACUUCUCUUCCCAAGGUUUUUUGAACCAUUUCCUAUAUGCUGAGCUCUGAGUACCUAUUCCACUGCCGAGGACAUAUAAAAAGAUGCUCCCUUCCU